rnacentral:rRNA from 1 species
UACGGGAGGCAGCAGUGGGGAAUAUUGCACAAUGGGCGAAAGCCUGAUGCAGCGACGCCGCGUGAGGGAUGACGGCCUUCGGGUUGUAAACCUCUUUCAGCAGGGACGAAGCGCAAGUGACGGUACCUGCAGAAGAAGCACCGGCUAACUACGUGCCAGCAGCCGCGGUAAUACGUAGGGUGCAAGCGUUGUCCGGAAUUACUGGGCGUAAAGAGUUCGUAGGCGGUUUGUCGCGUCGUUUGUGAAAACCAGCAGCUCAACUGCUGGCUUGCAGGCGAUACGGGCAGACUUGAGUACUGCAGGGGAGACUGGAAUUCCUGGUGUAGCGGUGAAAUGCGCAGAUAUCAGGAGGAACACCGGUGGCGAAGGCGGGUCUCUGGGCAGUAACUGACGCUGAGGAACGAAAGCGUGGGUAGCGAACAGGAUUAGAUACCCUGGUAGUCCACGCCGUAAACGGUGGGCGCUAGGUGUGGGUUCCUUCCACGGAAUCCGUGCCGUAGCUAACGCAUUAAGCGCCCCGCCUGGGGAGUACGGCCGCAAGGCUAAAACU